rnacentral:rRNA from 1 species
AGCUCCAAUAGCGUAUAUUAAAGUUGUUGCAGUUAAAAAGCUCGUAGUUGGAUUUGUGGCUGUCCCCGGCGGCUUGGCACAAUGUGCUAUUGCUUGCUGGGGUCGCCAUCCUUGGGUGGAUCCUGUGUGGCAUUAGGUUGUCGUGCAGGGGAUGCCCAUCGUUUACUGUGAAAAAAUUAGAGUGUUCAAAGCAGGCUUAUGCCGUUGAAUAUAUUAGCAUGGAAUAAUAAGAUAGGACCUUGGUACUAUUUUGUUGGUUUGCGCACCGAGGUAAUGAUUAAUAGGGACAGUUGGGGGUAUUCGUAUUCCAUUGUCAGAGGUGAAAUUCUUGGAUUUUUGGAAGACGAACUACUGCGAAAGCAUUUACCAAGGAUGUUUUCAUUAAUCAAGAACGAAAGUA